AGUGAACGCUGGCGGUAGGCCUAACACAUGCAAGUCGAACGGCAGCACAGUAAGAGCUUGCUCUUACGGGUGGCGAGUGGCGGACGGGUGAGGAAUACAUCGGAAUCUACUUUUUCGUGGGGGAUAACGUAGGGAAACUUAAGCUAAUACCGCAUACGACCUACGGGGGAAAGCAGGGGAUCUUCGGACCUUGCGCGAUUGAAUGAGCCGAUGUCGGAUUAGCUAGUUGGCGGGGUAAAGGCCCACCAAGGCGACGAUCCGUAGCUGGUCUGAGAGGAUGGUCAGCCACACUGGAACUGAGACACGGUCCAGACUCCUACGGGAGGCCGCAGUGGGGAAUAUUGGACAAUGGGCGCAAGCCUGAUCCAGCCAUACCGCGUGGGUGAAGAAGGCCUUCGGGUUGUAAAGCCCUUUUGUUGGGAAAGAAAAGCAGCAGGUUAAUACCCCGCUGUUCUGACGGUACCCAAAGAAUAAGCACCGGCUAACUUCGUG
rnacentral:rRNA from 1 species